UGGGGAAUAUUGCACAAUGGGGGAAACCCUGAUGCAGCGACGCCGCGUGAAGGAAGAAGUAUCUCGGUUUGUAAACUUCUAUCAGCAGGGAAGAUAAUGACGGUACCUGACUAAGAAGACCCUGCUAACUAGGUGCCAGCAGCCGCGGUAAUACGUAGGGGGCAAGCGUUAUCCGGAUUUACUGGGUGUAAAGGGAGCGGAGACGGAGCAGCAAGUCUGAUGUGAAAGGCAUGGGCUCAACCUGUGGACUGCAUUGGAAACUGUUGGUCUUGAGUACCGGAGGGGUAAGCGGAAUUCCUAGUGUAGCGGUGAAAUGCGUAGAUAUUAGGAGGAACACCAGUGGCGAAGGCGGCUUACUGGACGGUAACUGACGUUGAGGCUCGAAAGCGUGGGGAGCAAACAGG
rnacentral:rRNA from 1 species